AGCCGGGGAGAGCAUUCUGCUCAGGUAGGGCGGGAGUUUCCCAGAAAAGCUCUCAAACACAAGGCUGGAAAGAUGAAGGGUGCGUCUGGAUUCCAGUGACAGCCAGUUUAGUUCUUUUAGCAUGUCACAAUGGUGAGUCCUGUAACAAAGCAGCAGAAUGAGUUAUACAAUGUAUUGCGUAAAGCAAUAUAGGCCCAGCAAACCAAUCUGGCAAAUUUCAAUGUGCAAACAUGGGAAAGGGAAAAGCUCUACAUUUGACCCCUGUAAGUUUCUUUAAACACAUAUAACCUGUACAUUGGGGGCACUGUUGUACUCGUGAGACAUUUCUGAAUACAAAUAUGUGUAUUUUACUUCAGUAAAAUCCAACGGUAUUAUGACAUUCACAGUUAACCUCUUAAUGACACAACUUCUGGAAUAAAAGGGAAUCAUGACGGAAUAUUUCCGUCAUGUGUCCUUAAGGGGUUAAAAUGCCAUGCAGAACUUGAAAAAUAACAUUUC